rnacentral:rRNA from 1 species
GACGAACGCUGGCGGCGUGCCUAAUACAUGCAAGUAGAACGAGUUGCGAACGGGUGAGUAACGCGUGGUAACCUGCCUCAUAGCGGUGGAUCACUAUUGGAAACGAUAGCUAAUACCGCAUACUGUGAGAUGGACCUGCGUUGUAUUAGCUAGUUGGUGAGGUAAAGGCUCACCUAGGCGACGAUCCCUAGCGGGUCUGAGAGGAUGACCAGCAACACUGGAACUGAGACACGGUCCAGACUCCUACGGGAGGCAGCAGUGGGGAAUAUUGCACAAGGGGCGAAAGCCUGAUGCAGCCAUGCCGAGUGUAUGAAGAAGGCCUUCGGGUUGUAAAGUACUUUCAGCGGGGAGGCGUUACCCGCAGAAGAAGCACCGGCUAACUCCGUGCCAGCAGCCGCGGUAAUUC